rnacentral:rRNA from 1 species
UACGUAGGUGGCAAGCGUUGUCCGGAAUUAUUGGGCGUAAAGCGCGCGCAGGCGGUCUCUUAAGUCUGAUGUGAAAGCCCACGGCUCAACCGUGGAGGGUCAUUGGAAACUGGGGGACUUGAGUACAGAAGAGGAAAGCGGAAUUCCACGUGUAGCGGUGAAAUGCGUAGAGAUGUGGAGGAACACCAGUGGCGAAGGCGGCUUUCUGGUCUGUAACUGACGCUGAGGCGCGAAAGCGUGGGGGAGCAAACAGG